rnacentral:rRNA from 1 species
GAUGAACGCUGGCGGCGUGCCUAAUACAUGCAAGUCGAACGAACAGACGAGGAGCUUGCUCCUCUGACGUUAGCGGCGGACGGGUGAGUAACACGUGGAUAACCUACCUAUAAGACUGGGAUAACUUCGGGAAACCGGAGCUAAUACCGGAUAAUAUAUUGAACCGCAUGGUUCAAUAGUGAAAGACGGUUUUGCUGUCACUUAUAGAUGGAUCCGCGCCGCAUUAGCUAGUUGGUAAGGUAACGGCUUACCAAGGCAACGAUGCGUAGCCGACCUGAGAGGGUGAUCGGCCACACUGGAACUGAGACACGGUCCAGACUCCUACGGGAGGCAGCAGUAGGGAAUCUUCCACAAUGGGCGAAAGCCUGACGGAGCAACGCCGCGUGAGUGAUGAAGGUCUUCGGAUCGUAAAACUCUGUUAUUAGGGAAGAACAAAUGUGUAAGUAACUAUGCACGUCUUGACGGUACCUAAUCAGAAAGCCACGGCUAACUACGUG